rnacentral:lncRNA from 1 species
GCUUUUCUAGAAUAAUCCCUGGGAAAUAUGAAACUUACAAAACUCGUGGAAAUUGUCAGUUAAAACCCUAGACUAGUGGGUAUUCAUGUAUCCUUUCAUGUCUAAAGUUCUAAUAAAAAUUGACGUUAUCCACCGUCAACAAGUUCCCCCACACUUGCUCUUUGCUCGUCCUCGAGUAAAGGUUAAAGAUAAAAGUAAUCAUGAUCAUAACCUCCACAAAUAUAUAGCUAACAUAAAAAUUAUUCCAAAACAUUACUCACACAAGUGGGAUAUGUGGCAUUGGCUAGCAUAUGUCCUUGGGUGGUUGAAAAUUCGAACAGCUCUCGAAGCGAAGUCAUCUUCCCAGAUUCACAUCUUAGCAACUUGAAGUUUUUUUUCAAAAGGAAAGCAUAGAUCACUAUUACUCCUCAAAUGGUACUCUCGAUCGCUCAAUGGUGUAUCUUAUUAUGCUCUUCUCUUCCUACAACUAAUAGCUUAUGUGGAGCUCAGGUAGAGAUAGAUGUUGUGGCAUACUUGUGUUGCAUAUAUUGUAAAGUCAAAAUCUAAACCUGAGGAGCGAAAUAUCAUACUCUUAGAUCAAAAUAUGCAUGUGUGUGGAUAUUUAAUGGAUAUAUGGUGGAAUUGAAGAAACCUAAUUCUACUGUACUCCUUGAAUAUAUCUCUCUUUUGAAUUUAAAAACUUGGCCAGAAGACAUGAGCUAUCUUAUUUUUUUCUCUUUUUUCUUUUAGGAAGGCGAGUAUCUGAGUACUAAUUGUUUUCAUCUCUAGGACAGCUGUCCCCUUUUUUUUAAGUCCCUCUAUAUUUUUUUCUUCUCUUUAUAAUAACUUUUGCAUAGCUCACGACUCUUUUUGACAACAAAGACUUUUGAGAGAUAGCAACAAGAACUGGAGAAUUUAUUUGGUGGAUAAAAAACCUAUUAGGGAUAUUUUUAGUGUUCACUCCCACUGUAGGAGGGAAACAUUUUGGGAGGAUUUAAAUGGAAGGCAUGUUUUGCGCCUACUCCCAAUGUAAGAGCAGUGCAUAUAUAUGUGGGUGCAAGUGAAUUUUGAUCUUGGGAAUAUGAUAAAUCUCUCAAAGGAUCACAAAAUUUGACCACACUCAACAUAACAGCAAGUAGCAUAUGUAGAAAGCUUCUAUCCUAUAUAUAUGGCUCUAGUAGGAAUUUAUCACCAUUGAGGAGUAUGUGACACUAUGGUUUUAUAAAAUUUUAUUAAAAUGAAAUAUCCAAGUGCCUUGAAUAGAACUAGUAGGAUUUCUAUGCCAGAACUAUGUCACACUCCACAACAACUUAGUCAAUAUGAUUUUUUCUAUCAGAAUUUUUUCCCACAAGCAUAGGUGUAUGUAUAUGAAACAAUCUUCAUGCAAGCUUAUAUUUCAAGAAUGUCAUCAUCCAGUCACUCUUCAAAUUUUAAUUCUAAUUGUGGAUCUUGGUUCUUUUUAAUUUGCAAGGUAAUGCAAGUGCAUAACAAAUGUAAAGCUCAGUAAGCAUAUGAGUGAAUCAAGAAAGAUAAAACCGAGUUUUGAUAGUUUACGAAGACUCCCCCAUCAGUCCAUGAUGUGCUCAGCAUAUUUGUUCACAAUGGGGUUUGGCACCUCUCCCACACUUCUUCAAAAUUGUACCUAGCUUUUCAUUCAUAGAAUGAAAAUGGUGAAAAUAAAAGGGACUCUCCGGUGU